AUGUCAUCCUGGUGAGUCCUGUCCGUCCUGUGACUGAGGGACAUUCGGUCACUCUUGGCUGCAAGUUGAGGAAAGAAAACCUUCUUUAUGAUGUGGAUUUCUAUAAAAAUGACAAACUCCUCCCAAAUGCUGUCAGAGGGGAGCUGCUUAUCUCUGCAGUUACUAAGUCAGAUGAAGGCUUUUAUAAAUGUAGAGGAAGGAAAUCACCUCAAGGUUUGGAGACUUUGACCUCAGCAGAGAGCUGGUUGUCAGUGAAAUAUCCUGAAGAAGCAGCACCACGCUCUGUUUUUCUCGUGCUGUUGGUUGUUGGUCUGGUUUCUGGAGUUUUACUGAUUAUUCUCCUGCUGCUGUUUCUGUGUCGCUGCAGAAAGUCAAAAGAUGAAUCCAGCCUCACAUAUUCUGUGGUUCAGUUCAAAAACUUUAAAAAGAAGGAAAAGCACGAUGAACCAGACAAGAGCCCCGUUUACUCGGAUGUGAGGAUUGCAUCAGCUGCAGAGGCCAACGUGACGUAUGCCCAGGUUCACCCCCCCACUAAAAAGAAGAGGAACAAAGGAAAAUCCAGAUCUGUAGCAGAAGAGGAAUCUGUUUAUUCUGAAGUCAAACCAGGAACAUCUGAUCAAUAAAGACAUUUUCUUUUUAUCAACAGAGGUAGAGUAAAAAAGAGCGUUGAUCUUUCUUUCCCCGAUACGUCAUUGUAACAUAGAGCCAUGAUGCUUCCC